rnacentral:lncRNA from 10 species
GAGGGAAUCUCCUGGUCUGUAGGUUGUGAAGACCAUGGGAAAAGCGUAGUAUCUGGGCCAGAGUGCAGGGAUUACAAGCAUGAGCCACCGAGCCCGGCCACCAGCCAGUUUUAAUCAUAAUGCAAAAUUCUUGAAUAAAACAGUGGAACAAUGAUAAUCUUCUCAACAAUAGCACCGGAAUCAUUUGGUAGCCACAUGCAAAAACACAAACAAAACUUCAAUCCAAUCCGUACCUUGUAUCAUAUGUAAAAUUAAUUCAAAACGGAUCCUACACCUAAAACUAUGAAAUUUCUAGAAGGAAGGAUAGGGAAAAACCUUUAUGGCCUCUGGUUAGACAACUAUUUCUUAUAUAUGACGUCAAAAGUCUGUCCAUUAAAGAAUAGACUAAUACACUGAGCUUAUUCAAAAUUAAAAUAAGAUUUAUUGUGAGAAUGAUUGAUGUUAUAAACCAGGAAAAGGACUCUUCCCACAGCAGGGAUGACAGAAAUA